UUGAUACUCCCUCCGUCCGAAAAUACUUGUCAUCAAAAUGAAUAAAAGGGGAUGUCCCUAGAUGUAUUUUAGUUCUAGAUACAUUCCUUUUUGUCCAUUUUGAUGACAAGUUUUUUAGGACGGAGGGAGUAUUUA
rfam:Triticum aestivum genome assembly, contig: Triticum_aestivum_CS42_TGACv1_scaffold_049567_1BS